rnacentral:lncRNA from 1 species
AAAAAACAAAAAAACAAAAAAAAAAAACAUACCUUCUCAGUCAUUUUUCUGAACUGCCUAAGUUCUUGUAUGACUUAUUGGGAACCCUUUUAGAUUACUUUUCUUAAGUUAAGUGUCUUGUCUGUUGAGUGGUCCCAGGUUGAAAAAUAAAAAGAAAGAAAGCCACUGUUUGAAUGACUGAGGUGCUUUUAACACUUGAAAAAAUAGCAACUUGCAGACAGAGAAAUGUGGAAAUAUAUCCUUUCAUAGCUGAUGUAUCUCUGGCCUGAUACAGUUGUUUUCUGUUUAACAUUCCAGUGCUUUAAGGCAUUACAAAUGUUCCCAGCUACCAGCUUCAGCCUUUGCCCCAGCAUCUCAGUUGCAGGAGGUGCAGGCUGACGAUGGACCUGGACAUGCAAAGACUCCAAUGCCCCAGCAGCAGUCCCCUCUUUUAGCCUGGUGAAUGCCAGGUUUUUGGAUGCUUACCACACAGUUCAGGCUGUGAUAAGGAUUAUUUUUUUUUUCUCCUGACUUUUGGAAGGAGUAUGACAAACGAAUCCUUGACUUCUGUUUGCCGUGACUCUGUGCUGAGGCUGUUGAAUCACGCUAGUACCAUUCUCUGCUCUACAGCACUUCAAGGCAUAGCAGGUAUACCUUUUGUUCAGACUGCUCCAGUCUGUAGGAUAAAUGCUGGAAAGUCAUCAGAAGGAUCUUGGAGAGAUCAAAGCUCUGGCUGAUUGCUUCCUUAUUUUCACUGCUGGAAAACAGAUUCGUGCAUCACCUUGAAUACAUUCGCUCCUCCUACAGCUGUAUUAUUGCAAACAGACAUCACUGAAACAAUUUUGAACCAAGUAUGAAGCUGUUCUGUUAGAAGUGUUACACACUAUCAUCAGGAACAAAAACCACAAAGCUUUAUCUGGAAACCUAAAUGGCCAGAUAGAAGGAUUUUAUUGGGAGAGAAUACAGGACUCAUGGAAGAUUUAGGUCAAUUAUUCCUCUGUUCUGGUAGUGUUAAUCUUUGGGCUGAAAUUUCAGAUAACAGCAGGUAGUGCUGUUAACACCAGUCCUUGGUGCUGUUAAACUUCCUUUAUGUUAGAGUACUAGCAAUAAAAAAACAAUUUCAUUUACA